rnacentral:rRNA from 1 species
GUCCACGCCGUAAACGAUGUCAACUAGCCGUUGGGGAACUUGAUUCUUUAGUGGCGCAGCUAACGCACUAAGUUGACCGCCUGGGGAGUACGGCCGCAAGGUUAAAACUCAAAUGAAUUGACGGGGGCCCGCACAAGCGGUGGAGCAUGUGGUUUAAUUCGAUGCAACGCGAAAAACCUUACCAUCUCUUGACAUCCUGCGAACUUGGUAGAGAUACCUUGGUGCCUUCGGGAGCGCAGUGAC